UACGGAGGAUCCAAGCGUUAUCCGGAUUUAUUGGGUUUAAAGGGUGCGUAGGCGGCCUAUUAAGUCAGGGGUGAAAGACGGUAGCUUAACUAUCGCAGUGCCUUUGAUACUGAUGGGCUUGAAUGUACUAGAGGUAGGCGGAAUGUGACAAGUAGCGGUGAAAUGCAUAGAUAUGUCACAGAACACCGAUUGCGAAGGCAGCUUACUAUGGUAUUAUUGACGCUGAGGCACGAAAGCUAGGGGAGCAAACAGG
rnacentral:rRNA from 1 species